rnacentral:lncRNA from 1 species
AGGCUUCGAAUUUUCUGGGUUUUUUUUACUUUAUUUUUNNNNNNNNNNNNNNNNNNNNNGGUUUGAAGCGUGUCCUUACAAAGUUUUUCAUCGUUGCAUGUGGCAUGAUCAUCAGCCUCUGCAUUUCUGUUGUAGCAGCAUGCCGUGCUUGCUUUCUUUGUCCAAUAUUUUAUAGCCUAGAUAAUAACCAAGGUGGCAUUCUUCUCUAAAAAAAUAAAGCGACCUCUUCUAGAGUUGCAUUGAUCCACGUGCCCAUGCAUGGCACAUGCAUGUGGCCACGCAAGCCCUACUUUGGUGAUUUUUGUUGGACACGUUGAUCGGUAAUUUCUUUGUAAAUUGUUGUUCUAACGCUUGUACUAUAGGCUGUCCAGUAUCUAUAUAAUAUUAAGUGAUCAACUUUCCUUUCGUUUGGUCUUGUGGUGUUCUCAUAGCUGUGGUCUUUUUAAUUUUAGAAAAAAAAACCCCACCGUAUCUACUGCAGAUGCUUUAUAAAGGAGGCCCGUCCUGCCUUGUUACGCCCACUCGAUUAGAGCUCACAAGGGCCCCGUGAACAGUAAUUUGAAUGCUAUGGUUCGGUCGAGUUCUGGUAGUGCGUAUGUUGUUCGGGUUGCUUAGGGUUCUUCUUCUGUUGUUGAUGCUGGCGGAGUGUUGUCCAUGCAUUUUUUCUUGGGUUAUGUCGAGCCUUCUGCUGGUGAGUUUUUGUUUUCGUAUCAGUGUACUAUUUUUUGUCUCAUUGUUUGUUUUUCUCAGCCGUAUUAAUCGUGCUCUUCGGUUUAGUCCAACUCUUUGAUGAUGAUCAGCGGUGGCUGUUGGAGGUCUCUGAUGAGGCCCGUAGGCGGCAGAUGGAGAUACGACAUGGCAAGCGUCGGCAGUUGGAUAUCUCUCAUGAGGCCCGUUGAUGGCGGAUGCAUAUACGACAGAAUUUUUGUCAAAAAGACCCCCUCACGAAUGGAAUAGUCAGAAAAGACCACAUACGGAUGCUAAAAACGGAAAGGACCCCCUUCACGCGUGGCGGCAGG